GCACGAAACUUGCCCCGAGAUGAGUUCUCCCUGACUCCUUGAGAGUCCUGAAGGAACGUUGAAGACGACGACGUUGAUAGGCCGGGUGUGUAAGCGCAGCGAUGCGUUGAGCUAACCGGUACUAAUGAACCGUGAGGCUUAACCUU
rnacentral:rRNA from 1 species